AGGCCAAGAUGAUUCACCGCAGCUGUAAAUUUGUUCCAGUACGUAAAUGAACGUGUCCAGAUUUUUUUGGCUGUAAACUUGCCUUCACACAAUAAGACGAAUAGGCGUUUCUAACUUCAAUGUUUAUAAAGAAAUUGAAACGGUGCACACUCUUCUUAGCCAAACUGGCGCGCUUGAUAUGCUGAAAGAUAAAGAUUUUAUGCUUGCGACUUGCUUUUUUCACAAGUCCUUGAACAUUGAAACUCUCGCUACUUAUAUAUUAAAUUAUUGGGAAAACGCGCAAAAAGUUGCUGGGAAGAAGCGCCAAAAAAUUAAUUAUUUGGCGCUCGACUUGUGUCUGUCAUGAAGUUUUUUUUUCCACCUUUUAUAGCUGCCAUCCACGUUUAAUGACACUCGAGAGAAAGCGAGGAAGACCGUUUACCAGAAAACAUAUAGCGAGAAAGUAAAAGUGGAAAAUAUUAAGCACGUUAUUGAUAGCAUAACUGAUAAUAAUAGUUUCUUGGUGGAAAACCGAUGGCCUAUUGAUAAAAUGAUUGGCUUUUUCGACACCUUUGAUCCUCGCCAUGAACCUUCAAAGACUUCUUUUAAAAAUAAUAUCCGGGGUGGAAGGCUCUGGUUUAGCACAUGAUCACGCUAAGCAAUACUGUUUUGUGCGGCAGUCGUUAUGUUUAUGGCGGAACAUCCAGGAUAAAAUAUUCAAGUUAUGGAUUAUGGCCGACUCGGACUUGCUAAGUUCAGACUAUCCUUUGGCAACACAGUUUGUAGGAUAAGGCUUCAACAGAGAUCAACCCGCUCCCAGCGUUGCUCGUGCCGUGGCAAAUAUAUUGAAAAAAGUCAAUCCACACUGCGACGAAUUGGGGGUCAGUUGAAGCGUAGUCCAUUUGGGAGACAGAAAAUUUAUAAAGAGAUGCUCCGAAUGCGCUAUUUUUGAUAGACAAGUAUACUCGUUUCCAAAAUUUUUUAAACCCUAUUGCCACGUGCCUUGAACAAAACGAUGAACUGGCGAAUAAUAACAUUUGCAAAAAACUUUUGGAAAAGUUUGGAUGCGUUGAAGUUGCUAUGCUGAGAGACUUUUUUCGUCAGCUUCGAUGGAAGUGGUAGUGAUGGUAUUUAUAAAAAUGAGCAGCCCUCUUUAACUUUCAUUAGAAAUAUUGAGUGGCAUUCAGGAGGUUCGUGUGUGGACGGCCGACUGACGAGCUGCUGGAAUUGGUGUUCCACAUAAGAAAAAAAAC